CUGUUGCAAUAGAUAGCUGGAUUCUCCUAUCUGCUUCUACAUCCCAUCUGUUGCGAUAUCACAUAUUGUGUGGUUUCUGGAAAAUUCCAUGAUGCGUGAGAGAAGUGUGAGAAAAGGCAAAUAGCAUCUUGUAUUAUGAAAAUAGUUUGGGCCACGUAGAAGGGGCCUCAGGGACGCCCCCAGAGUCCCCAGACCACACUUUGAAUACCUGUGAUCUAGAGUGAAGGGCGGUAUAUCUUUUCUUGGAGGGCCAUAUUGUAAAUAUUUUAGGCUUAAUCUGUCGUAGCUAUUCAACUCUGCUGUGGUAUCAGGAAAGCAGCUAUAGGUAACAUGUAAACAAAUGGGUAUGACCAUAACCCACAAAAACUUAUUUACAAAAACCUGCAGGGGGUGGGAGGAGGUGGGCUGGAUUUGGCCAGUGAGCCAGCUCCUGGUCUACAGCACCAAGCUUGCUGGGGCCCUGGGUUUGGGGCUUGUGCCACAAAAGGGGGAGGACAGUGCCAUCUGAUUCGUCCUAGCCAGGCCCCUUCCAGAGGAAGAGAAAAGGAAUUUCUCAGAGAAGACUAGAUCUUGUAUUUUAAUUACCCUAGUUCCCAACUGGUAAAAUCCACAGUCUCCACCUUCUACUUAGACAUCCCUCGGCCAGCUCUGCUUCUCCCAUGGCCCAAGCUUCUGCCCUGCAACUCUGCUGCUCAUCGGGAAGCAGAUGCACAUCCAACUCUGGGGAAGCUGUGCUGGCCAUCUCUGCCUGUCCUGCCACCUCGGGUCAUGGGCACCCGGGCAGGCAGUACAAGCUAGCCAAGUGGGCCAGCCAUCCCCCUGACUCCUGAGUUAGGCCACCUUAGUGGCAUUUUGUCAUCUGUACUUCUGUUUCCUUUUGGAGCCUCUUGCCCACACACCCCUGUUCCCAGGGGGACCAAAGCUGUCUUUGGACUUGAGUCUUAACCUGCCUUUUACCACUCUUGCCUAUCCCAUGCCCCUAGACCUGGUGGGAAUAAAAAGUCUUCAGUGAGCCGGUGUUUUUAUUCCUCUGCUGCAGAGGCAAAGAACUCCUGGUUCUGGUUCCUUUGUGGAUCCAAGUCUCUGACCUGACAUUUCCUCCGGUCAUUCCCAUUCGUCCUCUGGUCCUUCCCUUGACUCUGCCUCCUCCGCAGCCCCUUGGCAACCUGACCUGUGCUGGCUGCUUUCCAGCUGGAGGACAUGGCCUCUGGACCCCAGACUGGCCUGGGCACGAAGGAAAACAGGAGCCUGGGGCAGCCUAAGAAACUUGUAUUGAAUGCACUUCCCCUUCCUCAACGGUCCACCAGCUUCAUCUUCCUUUGCUGUCCUUGUCUUCUCUACCAGGGUAAUGCAGUCACCCCAGGGGGGCCUGAUACUACUGGGCAAAAGCUGGAGUCUGAGCAGGGUCGGGUGGGGCAGGCCCCAAACUAGUCUCCUUAGCUAUCAGAAGGGGACCCCCCAGUGUAUGCCCCAAACCAGCUUGCCCAGUUUCAUUCCCCAGAAAAAGAUUGUGUGCCACCAGCUUGGGAAGAGAUUCAUCUGUUCCUCUGCCUACCACUUUCAAACUCAACCAGGAAGUUAUUGCUAUUUGGCUUUAAAAAUAGAACAUUCAAGCUGGACUUUUAUGGUCUUGUGAGGAACACUGUGCUCAUGCCCACCCACACCUGGUCUCUGCCCCUGCCUGGCCUCAUCCAGCUGCUCAGGAGCCGUUCUCAGUGGGUCCCUCAGUGGAGACUUGGUAGAUUUAUGAGUUCGGCCUUGGCUGAGACCUUCUCCCCAUGGCUCCCAGCCACUGUUCAGCUGCUCUCCCACAUCCCAGGCAGCCCGCGGCUGGGACGUUCUGUGUCUUUUUCUGCCUCCACCCCAACUUGCUGAGUCACCCCUCAGCCCCUUUCCCCUGCUGCCCUGUCCAGCCCUGUGGAGGAGCAGUGGCUCGUCAUGCCAGAGCCUCAUUUAGUCUCACAAUGGCAAUGGUGGCUCUAAGGCUACCCGUGUUGGGACUCGAGUCAGCCUGGUCCAUCCCCUCCCGCUCUGAGGUCCUGAUCUUUAACAAAAAGCUGGUUCCUUCUCUGUCUGGACUUCAGGUGCCUUUGGGUUUGAAGCUGUCCCUGAUCUGAAAAGUUACUUUUAGUAUGUGUAGACUCUAGGAUUGGUCCUCAAAUGAUUUCUUCAGAGCCAGAGAGAAAUUCCACUAAAGCUCUCAGAGAUCUCCGGCACCCCGUGGCAAGACUUAAGGAGUGCCUGGGAGGGCAGUGCCUGUGGGGAGAAGCUGCCCCUGGAGAGCUCAUUUGUAGACAGAUUGUAGAAGUAACUCCAGAGCCAGUGAGGCCUUGGGCCAAAAUCAUAUAAGGAACCCAGUGAACACAGGCCUAUCUUGUUUUUCCUGGAGGUUAGGUUUCUAACAUAAUGGAAAGAGAAGACUAAUUAUCAUCCCCUGGAAAAGGUAAGUGUUCCCCUUCAAAGGUCCUUCAAGGAGGUAAUCAGGCCCAUCAAUAUCCUUCAGAUUCAAGGCCUUCAGGUGCUGUCUGCUUCAGUUCCAGUAGGCCUGCCUCUGGGAUAAGAUCAUGUCAAACUAGGCAGCUGGGACCAUCGAAAAGUUUCUCUGGAAACUGGAAUGCAAGCAAUGCAAGCUUUCUGGCUUAACCCAUAAAUCUAAGUCAUUAUCAAGAAAAGAGUGGAAGGGCGCAGGGCCCAGAGAGGGAGGAAGUGUAGUGAUGAGGGGCAGCUGGAGAGACCACAGUGCAGACAAGACUCCUAAAUUCCCCCCUGCCUCUUGGACAUCAGGUAAUGUCUUGUGGAGCAAUAACAAGCAGGCUCCCUUCUUCAGUUUCCAUCUGCCUACGUGACCCUGGCCCAGUUCUGUUCACACUCACAGCUGCCCAGAGCCUGUCCAGCCCUUGGCUUUCCCAUCAGCACCUGCAGCUGCUGCCCUCCUAGGCCUCCACCUCUGCACCUGCAUGUCCGGAGGGUUUGUGGGAAGCUUAGGGGAGAAAGCAGGGGCGGUGCCCUAACUCAACGUCCAACCCAACCAAACCCUGUCCUCUCCCACUUCCCUUGCAGCUACCACAACACCUGCCUCCCCCAGUGCUCCUGAGUACCCUCCCAUUGCCGAAGGGCCCACUGCUUCGCCUGGUCUGCGUGCUGGAACCUGGGAGCUGAACCUGAGUCUGUGCAAUCUGAGGGCUGAGAGUCAGAGGGAAGACAGGCAGGGCUGGUAGAGAAUCUAGGUUCCUAAGCUCGAGUCGUAGUCUAGGAGAAAGAGGCAAGUGGUGAUGCUCAUUUGUCACCGAGAGCUGGUGAGCGUGGCCUCGUGGGAAAGAGAGCGUCUGCCUCUUCAGAGACUUGGGCUCUGGCCUCUGCCUCCGUUGUUCUUUGGCUUGAGGUGGUAGCUGUGGUGGGCUCAAGGCCAGAGCCCCCCAGGCCUCCAGCAUAGAGACGAGAUCGCAUGGGCCACUUCUGCAAGACACGGGGAUGGGAAGUGAGUAAUGCUCACUAUUGCAGCCCCUCGUAGUCCUUGGCACCCCAAACUUGGCCUUCCCUAGCCCCCCUCCCUGAGACCCUCUCCCACCAUGACUGCCCUGAUCACAGUGGUCUCGGGCUCACCACCACUUACGGCCCCCUGCCUUCUCCUGACCCCCUGAGCCUGGCAGAGAGGCUCAUGAGGAGCUGUCUGAGAAGAGGAAGGUCCUGAAAGGAGCCCCCCGAUGGUGGGGAGGGAGGAGCAUGGCAGAGCUGGCAGCAGCCAGGGGCUGGGCAGCGGGGAGGGCAGCAGAGCCGGGGCAAGGAGAGGGUCCUCCUGAUACUGAACAGCCGUGACCUCUUCUCUUGCUCAGCCCCCAACCCAGGUACCCCUGGCCACACUUAGUGCUGCCCGUCCGUCUAAGCUGGGGACCUCCUUGCGCAUCCUUCCAGCAGGAGCAUGGACAACCCCAGAAAACACCAGUUGACUCUGCUCUGAGGGCUGCCCUCCUCUUGGCAGCCCUCUAUGGGGUGGGGGCGCCAAAGGGGCACUGCUCCCUGCUAACUAUCCCAUCCCACCACGCUGCCUGAGUUCUAGACAGAACCGGCUCUCAUCUCUUCUUUCUUCAGCAUAUUUAUCCAUCACCUCCUACAUGCAAGGGCCUGACUUGGGUCGUCGCUUUACAGGUAAGGAAACGACUCUGCCACUGUCAGCAUUUCAGAGUCGCCCCCAUUUAGUCUCAAGUUCUUACAUUUUAGCUAUAUUUGCAUGAGAGAAAAGAAAUCUCAAGUUUCAAGACAUUUCAGAACUGUGAUGUUUAGGGGAUAGAGAGGGUGAACGUAUCCUCCAUAAAAACAAGGCUGAGCCCUUUCUAGUGCUGUCUAGCCUCAGAGGGCAGAGAUGACCCAUCCUUUAUAACAGCUCACUCUGCAACCAGCAGCUUACAGCACCCUUGGCCUGCUUGAUGGCUAUGAGCAUGGGCUCUGAGGUCAGACACCCUUGGGUUCAAACUGCAUUGAGCCACUUAAUCUCCCCAAGAUUCGAUUUCCUCAUCUGUAAAGUAAUCCUCAUUGGGUUCUCGUGUGGACAAGAAGAUGGAAAGAACUGGAGUGCUAAGCCCAGCUCCUGGCAUAACUUUUGCACCCAAAUACUGUUAUUGUUGUUAUUUGUGAUGGUGAAUAUUGUUAAUUAUACUUUUCACUCAUGAUCUCAUUUCAUACCAUGGAGGGGAAGUAAGGCUCGUGUUAGCUUCCCCUUCACAUGUGAUAAAGCUGAGGCUCAGGAAAGGCAGGUCCCUGUCUAGGAGGUGGAAAGCACCCCCCCCAACACACACACACACACUGCCCCCCCACUGCUGGUCCCUCCCCCACCCCAGCUUGAUUGCUUCUCCAGUGAGGCUUUCUGAGACCUUGUUCUCCCAGAGGGGGAUCCCUCCUAUGGCAGAAGUCCAGAGGACAUGGAGGCAUUUUACGAUGAUCGGGUGAUGUGCCCUGGAAUCUCGGACUCUCCCGGUGCAGUUUCCUUUCCCAGGUCCCAGCCCCAGAAACUGCUCCGAAUUUCCCUCCUCUUGGAGGAACCGCAUUUUCCAUGAAGUCAUUUCCAGUCACCACCCUCACUGCCCCCAGGGUCAGCCGAUUCCCAAGAGCGGGGCUUGGCUCCUCUCCCUGUGAGAGAGCAGGAAGCAGCCAGUCCCCGGUCCCCACGUCAGCUCUGCUCAGGGCAGGGGGCCUGAGUCCAGUCCAUCCCAAACCCCGUUCCCCAAGGCCCGGGGCUCGUGGCCUACCUUGAGAGGGUGUAGGUAGCAGAGUCCACGCAGGAAGGGAGGCCAGGCGGGGCCGGGCAACUCGUGGCCCAGCGUGCGGGUGAGGUGGGCUAUGUAGCCGGUGGCCAGCACCAGCACAUCCAACUUGGAGAGCUUGGUGUCAGGUGGCACAGCGGGCAGAGCGGCCUGCAGGGCCAGGAAGGCCUGGCGCAGUGUCCUCACCCGGCUCCGCUCCCGUGCAGCGUUCUUGGGACUGGCCUCACUCUGCACAGAGGACCCCAGGUCCUGCCUUGUUCUGCUCAGGCGGCUCCGCUUCCUGCCAGGGCCUGCGACCAGCCGCAGCUUGGCCUUCGCCGGCUUCUGCCCCACUCCCGGCAUGGCGGGGGCCCUUCUGACCUCCCUCUGUGACAUGCCACAGCCCCGGGCGGUGUGCUGCAGCGCCUAGACGGGAGCACAGGGCCUCACGGAGCCCGUGGGCACGAGCUCAGCGGGCAGGCGGGUCGCCCAGCCAGCAGUGUCUCCGAGGGAGCUGGCGCCCAGUCAGUCCCGCUUCACUCCUUGCUCUGGGAAGGCCGCCCACCCGGCGCAGCCCCCGCGAGGAGCCUCCUGCCUGCCUCCCAAUCGGCUCAGGGGUGGGGGUACAGACGCCGGGAGUGGCCGAGCCCCAGGAGGAGGCCCCUGCUGAAGGAGGCAGGAGGGUGGUGGGAAGGGAGCUCCCUUCCCAGAGCCUCGCCGGACCCUGACAGUAGUCCUGCCAUGCACAUGCAAGUCUAGCUUUGAGGCUCAAGUCCCUGCGAGGGCCCCGAACCCCCUCCUUUGCCAGAAGCCCGCCUGCACACACCGAACAACCUUCUAAGGAAAAAGAGACUCCCAUAUCCUCGUUUUACAGAUGGGAAAAUGGGGAUCAGGAAGUGACACAACUAAUAAAUACAGCUAGUAAGUGAUGGGGGUGGGAUGAGAGCCCAGGGCAGCCUGUUAGACUUGGAAGGCUGCCCCUCAGCCUAUGCUGUUCUGCGUGGGUGGGUCACUCAUGUCUGUCCCCAUGCAGGUCACAUCAUCUGCUCCUUACAGCUAGUCAGGAGGAGUGAGGAUGAAGGGACAGCAAAUCUGCCACAGUAGCCCCUGCCUGUCCCCAAGUCCCAGUCUCUGCUUGCAGCACAAUCCAUCUGAGAUGUCCCUUGUCCACCCAUUAUGAACUCCAGGGGAGACAAAAUAAGUAGAGAGAAAGGAGAGAAAGGACAGAGGAGUAAAGGCGGAUGUACGUAGUAGAGUGAGAGAGAACCACAGCCAACCAGAGGGAAAGGAAACAGGAAGACAAGGAAAAUCCACCUGAAUGUCCGUCAUCAGUAAGGAAGUGAUCACACACAUUUUGGUAUCUCCAUACCGUGGACUGAUGCGCAGUAAUAAAAAGAAGACAGACCUCUGUAGAGUGACAUGAAAAUAACUCUCCAAGAUGCAUGGUUUUUUU